UACGGAGGGUGCAAGCGUUAAUCGGAAUUACUGGGCGUAAAGCGUGCGCAGGCGGUUUGUUAAGUCUGCUGUGAAAUCCCCGAGCUCAACUUGGGAAUUGCAGUGGAUACUGGCAGGCUGGAGUAUGGUAGAGGAAGGUGGAAUUCCCGGUGUAGCAGUGAAAUGCGUAGAGAUCGGGAGGAACAUCAGUGGCGAAGGCGACUACCUGGCCUGUUCUUGACGCUGAGGCGCGAAAGCUAGGGGAGCAAACGGG
rnacentral:rRNA from 1 species